AUGUAGAAAUUGAACUUGAAAUAUUCUUACAACUUACUACUGGCGCGGUGGUUUGAGUGACAGGUCUGAAAGCCCUCCCUCGCCCCUUAUUACUAUUGGACAGGCAAGCAUUGAUUUUAGCAUUUAUCUACUACCGGUGGACGUACACCCGGAUAUGUAGCAAGCGCCUAGCCUUUAGCAAUAUAAACGGGGCUCUCCACAGACAAUCGGCAGAUUUCUAACAAUCAUAUUUCCAAUCGAUUCAUCAUUUUAUCGCAAGUGUAACACGAAAUACAGAACCGUUUAAGCUUCACAUUGUGUUUCUAGGUUGACGUUGUUUAGGCUCCACGACGUCCGCAAUGGUUAGCUCUCAUAGCCACCAUGGGCUAUCGCUAACUAGCCGCCCUGUCACCUUGGCUGUUAUCUCCAGAACUGCUCACGCUCGAGCCUCAACGUCCUUGAGACCAACUGGAAAUAUACGGUAUGAAAUUAAGUGUGAUUCUUAAAAAAGUAUAAAUUAUAUCGAAAUUCUGUGUCUACAUAUACGUAUAGAAUAAUACAGAAGAAGAAAGAAAGAAUAAAACUAAAGAACAAUAGUGGAGAGUGGCAAUUCUUCCAAAAGUUGGAUUUCAGACUUGAUCUUGGAUAGAGUGUUAUCCACUGGGCUGACUCGGGUGAGACUGGAGACUGAGGAAGCGGACCAAACACAGGAGAUUAGUAGCAAGUGUCAGUCCCUCUCAGCUCCAGAUGGCUCCUGGUUCUGAGCCAGUGGGACAUGGCUUCCCUCUUCUGCUCCACUGGUGGAAGAAGACGAGCAGGAGUCAGUGUUUCAGACCGGCGUCUCCGCGGGCGUCACACGGGCGUCGUUGAGGGUCAACCAUCCGGCGCCGUCCUCUCCAGCGACGUCACUGACGUAGUGGCCUGGGGGACACAAGACAUCCAUUACCUUACUGUCCCCCAGCGUGGGACGGGUCUAGUGUCUGACGCGUGUGUCAGCUCUCUCCCUGGCCCCUCUCACCCCAUGAACUUCCUGAAGACCUCUGUCCCUGUCUCCUGCACUGUCAAGAUGAUCCACUGCUGCUGAGAAACACACCAACAAUCCUGUUUUGUACACAACUGAAAAACUCAAGCGGUUGGGCAUGAGAUAGGAAUCCAUCACUUUUUUCUUACCCAUGUUUGCACUUGGUUUUGCUCCAGAUGCGAUGUCCCCCUCUCCAUAACUUGAUCUACAACACAUUCCAUACAUAAUGAUUAAUCAGAUAUUGAGGAUCGUAAAUUAAACACUAAAAUGGUUGUGUGAGGUCCUCUAUAAGAGGCAGGGGAGCUUAUGGCCGGAUUACCAAUCUAGAUUCAUCUGACUGUUUCAAUGACGCCCAGCACUCCCAACCCACCCAAUCUGUUUCCAUGAAGCACAACGCACUGCCUACCGUCCCAGUCUGUUUCCUUAUCUCUUACCUCAGUGGGUCUAUCCCAGCUGCAGCACCCUGCUCUCCAACGAGGGAGGCCAGAGACAGCCAUGGAGGAACGCUGACAGCAUCGGUCACCUUCCUCAACCGUGCCCCGUCGUGGUGGAAGCGCUUCAUGUGAAGGAGUAACACUCUGUGGACACAACUCUGUGGUUCAUCGUCCGAUCGCUGCAUGCACACACGCGCCCGUACGUAUGAAAAGGCUGCUUCAAGGCAACAUUGGAGACAACAGACUCAAGUUCAUGGCUCACCUGGGCAGAGUGAGGAAAUGCCGAACCGCUGUUGCCUGGCAUCCAGAGCACUGCCGGCAGGUGCACUCCAACUCUGAAGGCUGAGGGAAAGUGCUCUGUGAGUAUCAGUGGACCAGCGUAAUCGGACACACCAACACAACGGUGUACUGACUUUGAAGUAGAAUUGGAGGCCAGCUAUCAACGACGGGUGGAGGUCCAAGGACAAGUGGUUCUGCUCCUCCUCCUGGAAGACCUUGUCACCGCAGCUUUUAAGACGGGCAGAGAACAGAAAAUCACCAUUUGAACACAGCAGACCAGAUCAUGAUGCCAAAAGUGUUGGCGUAACAUUGAUUGACUUUCAUUCAAUGAUGGAGGAACUAUAGUAGUAUUAUGCGACAACAAUAAUACGUUCGAUGAAGUCAACCGUUACCUGGUGCAGGUGCGUACACACUGCAGUCUGAACUCAAAGUUCUGGACGGGGCAGAGAUAGCUGGGUGACGUGGAGAUCUCCUGCAGUGUCUCACCUUCCAUCUUCAUCUUCAUGAAGAGGAGGAGCAGGAACUCAUGAGCAUCCUGUCAGAAACCAGAAGUUCAGUUGACAUGUGUUUAAUCCUCAACAAGCGCAUAAGCCAAGAGAUAGGGACUCAUCAGCUGUACCUGCUCAGUGAUAUGCUCGUACUCCUCGUUGAACUCUGCCAGACUGCUCUUGAUGGACCAAAGGAGCCGGCGCUUGCCUUUGUAGGAGCCCUCACCCUGCCGGGAUUUAUAUAGCUCCCCCAAGUACCUGGAGAACAGCAUACGAAAAGACCAAGUGCAUUUAGUAUACCUACUGUACUUAAUAUUGUACAGUGGAGCAUUCACUUUGUCAGUAAAUCGUCCAAGCUGUACUGUAGUUUGUGAGGGCUAAGGGUCUGGUUCUCCUCUAGUGUGAGGGCUAAGGGUCUGGUUCUCCUCUAGUGUGAGGGCUAAGGGUCUGGUUCUCCUCUAGUGUGAGGGCUAAGGGUCUGGUUCUCCUCUAGUGUGAGGGCUAAGGGUCUGGUUCUCCUCUAGUGUGAGGGCUAAGGGUCUGGAUCUCUACUGGACCUCAGCAGCUUCAGCUUGGUUCUUCUCCGGGGGCUCCAGAGGUCCUCCUGCCCCGUGAUGUCACUGCAGAAGCAGGGCAGGCUGUAGAGACACUGCAGGGACGCGUUCAGGAAGCAGCUGUUUCCAAUGUUGGGCAAGCUGAAGAAAACACAUACACAUCAUUAGUCAAUGUACCAGCCCGGAGUAUAUAGUCGUGAUGAUUAGGUUUUAAAGAAGAGACAACCAAUGUUUGGGAAAGUGUAAAUCUCUACAAAUAUAACCAGAACUCCUUAAACUAUGGACUAUAAGGGGGUGAAGGCAUCAGCGGCCCCAAACAGGCUGCUUGUAUUCAUGUUUAUUCUCUAAAGAACCAGCUCAAGAGAUGUCUUUCCUGUCUCUUACCCAAGGGCCUCCUGGUGUUGCUGGGUCUUGCUCCUACCAGAGGAGGCCCGCAGCCGGCUGACCUCGUCCCUCUGAGGCUGACUGCAACACACAGGGACGAGCGGAACAGAAAGGGAAACACAGCAAUGAGGAGGAUAGUCACGUCACGUAUAAGCAAAACGGAGUCAUUCAUUCAUCGAUUUCUAUCUGAUGUCCAAUCCUGUGCUGAUGGAUCUCCCUGAUGCAAUCAGCAAAGGUUGGCUCCUGCUGUCAUACCACUGCAGAGAUGAGAAGCGACGAAGCCGGGAGAACUCUGAGGACCGACCACCACCACGGUUAAGACAAUAAUAGUUGAUCUGUGGGACAUGCUGUCUACUCAAUGGAGGACUGCUUCAAAGUACCUGUUGUCUGGGCAGGAGGCCCAGUGGGGUCCACCUCAUUGAGCUCACUCCCAGCUACUGCAGGUACCCUGAAACGCACACAUUCAUCAAGGUCAACUGAGGAUGGGGGGGCUGAUGUUUUAAGGACAAAUUAAAAGCAGGAAUGCAAAUUGAAAAGUUACAAACAUGGAUGAGUCAUUUUUGGCAUAAUUUCACCGGCGGUGAACUUAAUGCUACUUGUUACCU